AGUGAACGCUGGCGGUAGGCCUAACACAUGCAAGUCGAACGGCAGCACAGUAAGAGCUUGCUCUUACGGGUGGCGAGUGGCGGACGGGUGAGGUAUAUAUCGGACUCUACUUUUUCGUGGGGGUUAACGUAGGGAAACUUACGCUCAUACCGCAUAUGCUCUACGGGUGAAAGCAGGGGAUCUUCGCAGCUUUCGCGAUUGGAUGAGCCGAUGUUGUGUUUGCUAGUUGGCGGGGUGAAGGCCCACCCAGGCGGCGAUCCGUAGCUGGUGUGUGUGGAGGGUCAGCCGCACUGGAACUGAGACACGGUCCAGAGUCCUACGGGAGGCACCAGUGGGGAACAGUAGACAACAGGCGCAAACCUUGUCCAGCCAGACCGCGUGUGUGAAGAAGGCCUUCGGGGUGGAAAGACCUUUUGUGGGGAAAGAAAAGCAGCAGGUUAAGACCCCGCGGUUCUGACGGUACCCAAAGAAUAAGCACCGGCUAACUUCGUG
rnacentral:rRNA from 1 species